rnacentral:rRNA from 1 species
UACAGAGGGUGCAAGCGUUAAUCGGAAUUACUGGGCGUAAAGCGUGCGUAGACGGUUAUUUAAGUCGGGUGUGAAAGCCCCGGGCUCAACCUGGGAAUUGCAUUCGAGACUGAAUAGCUAGGGUGCGGAAGAGGGAAGCGGAAUUUCCGGUGUAGCGGUGAAAUGCGUAGAUAUCGGAAGGAACACCAGUGGCGAAGGCGGUUCUCUGGGCAUUACCUGACGCUGAGGAGCGAAAGUGUGGGGAGCGAACAGG